rnacentral:rRNA from 1 species
UUAAAUUGAAGAGUUUGAUCAUGGCUCAGAUUGAACGCUGGCGGCAGGCCUAACACAUGCAAGUCGAACGGUAGCACAGAGGAGCUUGCUCCUUGGGUGACGAGUGGCGGACGGGUGAGUAAUGUCUGGGAAACUGCCCGAUGGAGGGGGAUAACUACUGGAAACGGUAGCUAAUACCGCAUAACGUCGCAAGACCAAAGAGGGGGACCUUCGGGCCUCUUGCCAUCGGAUGUGCCCAGAUGGGAUUAGCUAGUAGGUGGGGUAACGGCUCACCUAGGCGACGAUCCCUAGCUGGUCUGAGAGGAUGACCAGCCACACUGGAACUGAGACACGGUCCAGACUCCUACGGGAGGCAGCAGUGGGGAAUAUUGCACAAUGGGCGCAAGCCUGAUGCAGCCAUGCCGCGUGUAUGAAGAAGGCCUUCGGGUUGUAAAGUACU